ensembl:lncRNA
GAUAGAUAGAUAGAUAGAUAGAUUGAUACUUUAUUGAUCCCUAAGAGGGAAAUGUUGGUAUCACAGCAGCAUAUACAGGGAAGAAAAUAUUAUUAAAAGAUACACAUUAUAUACAAUAUUAUAAGAUAAAAAAGAUUAAAUUAUUGAAUAAAAUAAACUAAAACAAAAUAAGAAGAAGCCUUAUUAUAAUAAUAAUAAUAAUAAUAAGAAGCCAUAUUAUAAGAAGAAGAAGAAGAAGAAGAAGACGCUGUGUUAGAAGAAGGAAAAGAAGAAGAAGCCGUAUUAGAAGAAGAAGAAGAAGAAGAAGCCGUAUUUUAAGAAGGAGAAGAAGAAGCCAUUUUCCCUUUAUUAGUGCUCUUUGUAAUUGGAUGAAAUGAAACCAUUGCAAGUUAUCUCCCCACACUCUGUGAUAAUAACCAUCAGAAACCCAGUUUAAGUUAACUACACAGGAGACAAAUAAGCUUACCUCGAGUACUGCAUUUGUGGCGGUAGAGAAGGCGUAGAUACAGUGUAAAGCACGCAGAAGUACUCGUAGUACUCGUGUUUUCUUUUUCUAAAGCAGCAGCGGGAUUCGUCUGGAGUCGGGUUACCUCACGUCUGCACGUCUAGUUUUGCUGUCAGAUUCUAUAACAGCAUUAUUCUUGUGCUGCACAGCGCCGCAUAUAGCGCAAGCUUUUCCUCCAUCACAAAAUUGCCGGUGCAUUCUGCGCGGCCCUGCUGAUGGAUGGCCACUUACAAGCAUCACUAUAUACUCUCCUCUCCCGCUCCGCUUCUCAAUCCUUUCAUGCGUGGAGAGGUUUGAUCUAAUAGUCCGUAGAGCCAAUCAAGUAUUUCUUCACUUGGGGGGGCCACGGAUUUACGUUGGGGCUAAUGCAGCCAGCGCCCCGCUGCUUCCUGAAUGGUAUAACGCUCUCUUGAAGGAUUUCUAUGAAAUCAGCCAUGGUAACGGCCAGCGGGGAUUCUAAAACAAGGCGACCGGAGACAAAUAUGUGGUUUGAAUGAACCACUACCACACUGCAGUGGAGGCUUUAGUAGAAAUGCCUCUUGCCAUUAGAAAGCUGUUUUCAUCCUGGUGCAGUUUCAGAAAUGACAAUAUCCUUAUUG